AUCGCGAAUGCCUGUGGAACUACAUUGACCUGGUGUCGCGGGUUCGAAUCCCGCCCGUUGCGAGACGGUAGCUCAGUUGGUAGAGCACAGAAUGUUCCGCGUAAACCUGGUCGCGAUACA
rnacentral:Y_RNA from 1 species